rnacentral:rRNA from 1 species
CAAAAAAGGGGGAAUUUUCCGUAAGGGGGAGCAUGCGGAUGGAUCAUUGAAAGAACUUUGUCCAUCGGUCGCCGUCUUCGCCCUCCUCCGGGAGGGAGAAGCGACGCUCCGACACUCGAUAGGGGACGGGCAAGUCCUUCCCGGGACGUCGAAGACCCUCACGGGUCGACGAAGACGAAUCCCGGGGAGACUCCAAAAAAACCGUAGCCCCCUCGGAGAAACGUCGAUCGAGGGAGGGAUCGCUCGUCGAUCCUUACGGGACACGAGGAGAGAUCAUGUAGAUAUCUUUUGAGGACGGAUACCUCGGUUCCCACGAAGAGGAAGAGCGCGGUGACUCUGGACUAUGUGGAGCGAAUCGCAGCAUUCGGAGACUCAUGCAAUAAAUGAAAGGAAUCAGGCGGUGUAGGGUCUUUCCGGGAGCAAUCGAAUAAGAGUGUACAUCCCAAAAAUACGUACCCUAUAGAGUGAGAAAGACAGAAGGGGAGGCAAAGAGUGAUCGGGAGUAAUCAGAGAGACCGUCUACGUCGAUGAGAGGAGCCCCUCCACAGGACCCCUACGCAAGUGAGGGAUCCAGCUGCAACGAUAUCGAAGAGAGAGAACGAUGGGAACAAAAACAAGUCGGGUGCACAGACCACCACCCAUUUUUGUCUCGAGUUGAUUUGUGCAAUGAGAUCCGGAGCGUAACGACGCUGUCCGUUGUCCGAGAAGCCGGCGACAGAGGAGUAGAAAAAAUCAUGCACUCUCUAAGCACGACCUCACAUCAGGCAAGCUACCCAGU